GCAACAUUCGCGGCGAUUCAAAAUAAAAGAAGAAUUGGACCUCUGCCUACCAUGCUCCAUUGGCUGUCCAGCGCAUUCCUCAAGCCUUUUCACCACUUGUGACAGGGGGCAUCUUCCACUCCUUACCAUCCUCUUUAUUUUCUUGAGACAAUUUACAAAUUUAAAAGCGCUACAAUUGUCCAAUCCUCCAAAGGUCACGGCAUCCUCCACAAUGUGCAACAUUGAGUGCACGUUGUAGACCAGAAACUGGUUACCAUAAAGUUCUCGGCCUCUCUCAACAAAGAAUCGGAGGAGAUCAGCAGCAUAUCUCCAGUGUUGCUCGACCAAUGCUGGACUUACAACUCUUUAAGAUCUCUCGGUUUGCGAGCGAAGCUGGAAGGGAUGUGUGGACGGAGGUUGGUGAGCCUGCUGCUGACCUCCUCUAUUUGGGUUGCCGACAUCUUCAGGCCCUUCACUCCUCUGCACCACAUGAAGAGAAGCCUCUUCAUUACACCCAAGCAUGCCUGGUGCAUGUAAUCGAUGGGAAAUGCACUGAUCAUGUUUAUGGGUAAAUCCAAAAGCGGGGUGCUGCCAUGAUGAUGCUCGCCCUGUGUCUGUUGGCGGAAGGAGUCGUCACUACGAGCCACCACCUCUGUGUCUUGGCCACUGGACAGGAGGUUGUUGACAUCCAUCACCAUGUCUUCCAGGAAUUCCAGAUUCUGUGGCUUCGAACCUCCACAAGUCAGGGUGAUAGGGAAGACUGACACUGGUUUUAAAUGGACAGCACAAAGGAUGGGCCACAUUGUUCUUCCUGAGCUCUUAAACAGAGGUAGCCCAUCUACGUUGAAGGAAAGGUCAACACAGUCGGGGACCUGGUCUGCUGGGUAUCUCAAUAGAGUCUGUUGCAAUUUGUCCUUGAUAGGAAAAUGGACAUACUCCAUACCAGACUUUGAUGUGAUCCUGACCUCCCUUGGUGUCUUCAGGAGUGUCCUGGUGGUGGAAGGCAGGUCAGUGUGUCCGUGACCUCUCAAAACUUUCAAAAGGUCAUCAACAGCAUUGUGUUUCACCUGAAACUGGCAAGCCCAGCUAGCGAGGUCAGAUGCGAGCGAUGCCGGACGCUGGUCGGACGCCUCCAGGUCAUCCCCAAAAACCACUUCCUCCUCAUCAUCAGAGGGAUCAACAUCCAUCCAGUCAUCGAGGUCAUCCUCCAAAGCAGAACGAUCCUCAAAUGACUCAUCCAAGUCCAAGGAGUUGUCCAUGUCACCAAUAGGCGCAAGAACACCGGAUGGACUGCUGGACAAGCUGGCAUCAGCCACAUGGUGUUCUGUGACACAAACACUGGCAGUGCUUUCAGCUAUCCUAUUCAUCACUUGUUUAGCAGAUCUCCAUGAACGGAGGUACUGCCUUGCCCGUAACUGUUUUUCCUCACUCAUCCUGUGAAAUAAAAUGUUUCACAUUUUAA